rnacentral:rRNA from 1 species
AUACGGAGGGGGCUAGCGUUGUUCGGAAUUACUGGGCGUAAAGCGCACGUAGGCGGAUUAAAAAGUUAGAGGUGAAAUCCCAGGGCUUAACCCUGGAACUGCCUUUAAAACUAGUAGUCUAGAGUCCGAGAGAGGUGAGUGGAAUUCCAAGUGUAGAGGUGAAAUUCGUAGAUAUUUGGAGGAACACCAGUGGCGAAGGCGGCUCACUGGCUCGAUACUGACGCUGAGGUGCGAAAGCGUGGGGAGCAAACAGAAUUAGAAACCCCAGUAGUCC